rnacentral:lncRNA from 1 species
CAAACUCAAACAGAAAUAGCUCCUUCCAUAGCACCAAGAAGAGGUAUUGGUGGUUGAGAAAAGAGGAGAGAAAGAGUGAGUUCGACAACAAGUUCAUAGCUGGAAUAGCCCACGCUUAUAAGAAGUGACAAUUGCCCAGACUUCUUGCGGACAACGUGCAGGUUACUCGUGGUAGCAGCUUUCUGCCACCUUGUUAGUUCUCUUCCUUCCUAUCUUCCUAGCUACAAGGGCCUCCCCCUAAGGUUGUGGUUGGAAUUAGCAACUAUCAUAGUAGCAUUGCUGGAUGG